GACGAACGCUGGCGGCGUGCUUAACACAUGCAAGUCGAACGGAAAGGCCCUGCUUUUGUGGGGUGCUCGAGUGGCGAACGGGUGAGUAACACGUGAGUAACCUGCCCUUGACUUUGGGAUAACUUCAGGAAACUGGGGCUAAUACCGGAUAGGAGCUCCUGCUGCAUGGUGGGGGUUGGAAAGUUUCGGCGGUUGGGGAUGGACUGGCGGCUUACCAGCUUGUUGGUGGGGUAGUGGCUUACCCAGGCUUUGACGGGUAGCCGGCCUGAGAGGGUGACCGGCCACAUGGGGACUGAGGGACGGCCCAGACUCCUACGGGAGGCAGCAGUGGGGAAUAUUGCACAAUGGGCGGAAGCCUGAUGCAGCAACGCCGCGUGCGGGAUGACGGCCUUCGGGUUGUAAACCGCUUUCGCCUGUGACGAAGCGUGAGUGACGGUAAUGGGUAAAUAAGCACCGGCUAACUACGUG
rnacentral:rRNA from 1 species